AUUGAACGCUGGCGGCAGGCCUAACACAUGCAAGUCGAGCGGAUGAAGGGAGCUUGCUCCUGGAUUCAGCGGCGGACGGGUGAGUAAUGCCUAGGAAUCUGCCUGGUAGUGGGGGACAACGUUUCGAAAGGAACGCUACUACCGCAUACGUCCUACGGGAGAAAGCAGGGGACCUUCGUGCCUUGCGCUAUCAGAUGAGCCUAGGUCGGAUUAGCUAGUUGGUGAGGUAAUGGCUCACCAAGGCGACGAUCCGUAACUGGUCUGAGAGGAUGAUCAGUCACACUGGAUCUGAGACACGGCCCAGACUCCUACGCGAGGCAGCUGUGGGGAAUAUUGGGCAAUGGGCGAAAGCCUGAUCCAGCCAUGCCGCGUGUGUGAAGAAGGUCUUCGGAUUGUAAAGCACUUUAAGUUGGGAGGAAGGGUUGUAGAUUAAUACUCUGCAAUUUUGACGUUACCGACAGAAUAAGCACCGGCUAACUCUGUGCCAGCAGCCGCGGUAACAC
rnacentral:rRNA from 1 species